rnacentral:rRNA from 1 species
GUGGGGAAUAUUGCACAAUGGGCGCAAGCCUGAUGCAGCAACGCCGCGUGAGGGACGACGGCCUUCGGGUUGUAAACCUCUUUUAGCAGGGAAGAAGCGAAAGUGACGGUACCUGCAGAAAAAGCACCGGCUAACUACGUGCCAGCAGCCGCGGUAAUACGUAGGGUGCAAGCGUUGUCCGGAAUUAUUGGGCGUAAAGAGCUCGUAGGCGGUUUGUCGCGUCUGCUGUGAAACCCCGAGGCUCAACCGCGGGCCUGCAGUGGGUACGGGCAGACUAGAGUGCGGUAGGGGAGAUUGGAAGUCCUGGUGUAGCGGUGGAAUGCGCAGAUAUCAGGAGGAACACCGAUGGCGAAGGCAGAUCUCUGGGCCGUAACUGACGCUGAGGAGCGAAAGCGUGGGGAGCGAACAGGAUUAGAAACCCGAGUAGUCC